GUGGGGAAUAUUGGACAAUGGGCGCAAGCCUGAUCCAGCCAUGCCGCGUGAGUGAUGAAGGCCUUAGGGUUGUAAAGCUCUUUCACCGAUGAAGAUAAUGACGGUAGUCGGAGAAGAAGCCCCGGCUAACUUCGUGCCAGCAGCCGCGGUAAUACGAAGGGGGCUAGCGUUGUUCGGAAUUACUGGGCGUAAAGCGCACGUAGGCGGACAUUUAAGUCAGGGGUGAAAUCCCGGGGCUCAACCCCGGAACUGCCUUUGAUACUGGGUGUCUGGAGUAUGGAAGAGGUAAGUGGAAUUCCGAGUGUAGAGGUGAAAUUCGUAGAUAUUCGGAGGAACACCAGUGGCGAAGGCGGCUUACUGGUCCAUUACUGACGCUGAGGUGCGAAAGCGUGGGGAGCAAACAGGAUUAGAUACCCGGGUAGUCC
rnacentral:rRNA from 1 species